GUUUGAAGGACUCCAUAGUGCUGCGUAGCCAGAGAGCAGCAAUACAAAUAAUUCUGUUCUUUUCUUUUGCGUUACCAUUUACUCAAUGUUUAUGCACCUCUGAAAUUGUCAUUUGCUCCUCGCAGCAAUUCUAUUUGGUGGACUGAAUCUUCCUUGACCUCAUCAUCCUCUGCCCCACCAUAGAUGAAGGCAGAAAUCCUCCUAGAGAGGAUGCUCGCCAAACAUGCCAAAGGCUUCCUGAGCUUCCCUUUGACAUGGCACAUUUGCAUGCUAAUGUGAAGGUUGGUGUCUUAGCCCAUUUUUGUUGCUCUAACAAAAUAUCACAGACUGAGUAACUUAUAAGCAAUAGACUGGAUGCGGUGGCUCAUGCCUGUAAUCCCAGCACUUUGGGAGGCCAAGGUGGGCAGAUCACGAGGUCAGGAGAUUGAGAACAUCCUGGCCAACAUGGUGAAACACUGUCUCUACAAAAAAUACAAAAAUUAGCUGGGU
rnacentral:lncRNA from 1 species